rnacentral:rRNA from 1 species
CAAGUCGAACGGGCAUCUUCGGAUGUCAGUGGCAGACGGGUGAGGAACACGUGGGAACAUGCCCUUCGGUUCGGAAUAACUCAGGGAAACUUGAGCUAAUACCGGAUACGCCCGAGAGGGGAAAGAUUUAUUGCCGAAGGAUUGGCCCGCGUCUGAUUAGCUAGUUGGUGAGGUAACGGCUCACCAAGGCGACGAUCAGUAGCUGGUCUGAGAGGAUGAUCAGCCACAUUGGGACUGAGACACGGCCCAAACUCCUACGGGAGGCAGCAGUGGGGAAUAUUGGACAGUGGGCGAAAGCCUGAUCCAGCCAUGCCGCGUGAGUGAUGAAGGCCUUAGGGUUGUAAAGCUCUUUUAUCCGGGAAGAUAAUGACUGUACCGGAAGAAUAAGCCCCGGCUAACUUCGUGCCAGCAGCCGCGGUAAUACGAAGGGGGCUAGCGUUGCUCGGAAUCACUGGGCGUAAAGGGCGCGUAGGCGGAUGAUUAAGUCGGAGGUGAAAGCCCAGGGCUCAACCCUGGAAUUGCCUUCGAUACUGAUCGUCUCGAGAAUGGAAGAGGUAAGUGGAAUACCGAGUGUAGAGGUGAAAUUCGUAGAUAUUCGGUGGAACACCAGUGGCGAAGGCGACUUACUGGUCCAUUUCUGACGCUGAGGCGCGAAAGCGUGGGGAUCAAACAGGAUUAGAUACCCUGGUAGUCCACGCCGUAAACGAUGAAUGCCAGCCGUUGGGGAGCUUGCUCUUCAGUGGCGCAGCUAACGCUUUAAGCAUUCCGCCUGGGGAGUACGGUCGCAAGAUUAAAACUCAAAGGAAUUGACGG